UUUCGGGUGUCGCUGAUGGAUGGACCCGCGGUGCAUUAGCUAGUUGGUGAGGUAACGGCUCACCAAGGCCACGAUGCAUAGCCGACCUGAGAGGGUGAUCGGCCACAUUGGGACUGAGACACGGCCCAAACUCCUACGGGAGGCAGCAGUAGGGAAUCUUCGGCAAUGGACGAAAGUCUGACCGAGCAACGCCGCGUGAGUGAAGAAGGUUUUCGGAUCGUAAAACUCUGUUGUUAGAGAAGAACAAGGAUGAGAGUAACUGUUCAUCCCUUGACGGUAUCUAACCAGAAAGCCACGGCUAACUACGUGCCAGCAGCCGCGGUAAUACGUAGGUGGCAAGCGUUGUCCGGAUUUAUUGGGCGUAAAGCGAGCGCAGGCGGUUUCUUAAGUCUGAUGUGAAAGCCCCCGGCUCAACCGGGGAGGGUCAUUGGAAACUGGGAGACUUGAGUGCAGAAGAGGAGAGUGGAAUUCCAUGUGUAGCGGUGAAAUGCGUAGAUAUAUGGAGGAACACCAGUGGCGAAGGCGGCUCUCUGGUCUGUAACUGACGCUGAGGCUCGAAAGCGUGGGGAGCAAACAGGAUUAGAUACCCUGGUAGUCCACGCCGUAAACGAUGAGUGCUAAGUGUUGGAGGGUUUCCGCCCUUCAGUGCUGCAGCUAACGCAUUAAGCACUCCGCCUGGGGAGUACGACCGCAAGGUUGAAACUCAAAGGAAUUGACGGGGGCCCGCACAAGCGGUGGAACAUGUGGUUUAAUUCGAAGCAACGCGAAGAACCUUACCAGGUCUUGACAUCCUUUGACCACUCUAGAGAUAGAGCUUCCCCUUCGGGGGCAAAAUGACAGGUGGUGCAUGGUUGUCGUCAGCUCCUGUCCUGAAAUGUUGGGUUAAUUCCCGCAACGAGCGCAACCCUUAUUGUUAGUUGCCAUCAUUCAGUUGGGCACUCUAGCAAGAC
rnacentral:rRNA from 1 species